AUCGCCCGUCGCUUUUGUGCUUCAAAAUAAGUCGUAACAUAGUAGAUUUAUCGGAAGAUGGCUCUA
rnacentral:rRNA from 1 species